rnacentral:lncRNA from 1 species
CCAAGUUCAUUAUAGAUAGAGAUAAUUGUAGCAACAAGAAUGUUCGGUAAAGUAAGAUCUAUAAACACAUCACCAUCAUCAAAACACAAUUUUGUUAUGAAUUUAUCUGUGUCCAUUGUUUAAUAUGCACAUAGACCAAGGUGAGCGACACAGGCUCUUGAGAGCCUCUAGUUUCACAUGUCGCACCGAUUUAUGAUUGUGGCUUAAAAUUUUACACACUUCUUAGUUAUAUUAAUCUAAAUAUCUGUAUACUUUUUGGUGAUGAUUCAAAAUUUUAUUUUAGAGUUAUUGAGUUUUU